rnacentral:snoRNA from 1 species
AGCCGAUGAUUAAAAGUAAAUAUUUAGACAAGCAUAUGUCUGAAUUAUUCUAUGUGGAACAACCUAAUCUUCUCUAUGAGGCU